CAAAGAGCAGAAAAAAAAGGAAAGUGAUCUCAAUCAGAGCCCCAUGCGCCGCCGCCUGAUGAGUGUCGGACAUCCACGCCACAUGCGCCGCCGCCUGACCCUCCUCCGCCACCGCAGCCGUCGCAGAACCGACGAGUGCGCCGGCAGCACCUCCCAUCCCCUCCUAUCAUCUUCCCUAUCCCUACCCAGUGGACGACUAGGUAGAGCUGACGUCUCCUCCUUCACCAACAUCGACGAUGAGCUGAGAUGACGCCCUCUCACCAGGCACGCCCUUGAUCAGGACGGCACCGCCGAGCCCGUGGCCCUCCUCCCCAGGUCACCGAAUCUAGCCAAGAUCUGCCCCGUCCUCCCACAUCGGCCACCAUGGUCGUCCUCCCCUGCACCCAAGGUAAUUUGGAUGGCCCCGUCUCUCACGAAUACAACAAGCUGCGUGCAUUGGACGGAGCGAACAUAGCCAACCACGUGGGUGGCGGUGGCGGCAGCUGGACCGAGGAAGAGACCCGCGUCCGGCGGCCUGGAGCAUGCUGAUGGCCGCGGCGGGGAAGGCACAUGCCUUGCUCCUCAAUUGCUACCUGCCCCCUCAGUCAAACUCUAAAGGCCUUUCCCAAACAGAUUGGAGAUCGACAAGAAUGGCGGCGACCGCAACUAUGACCUACGGCGAAGGAGAAACUGACUCUGAGCAAUGGAGGCGUGACGACGCUGCUCGUGUUGGACUCAGCGGUGCUCUCGGUGCACGGCCGAUGGGUGAUGGUGCUCGAGGCUGACAACUCCGUGGUCAAAGCCACCGGCGGCGGCUGAGUAAGGGCACUUGUGCGGUCAAGGUACAUCUUAUCCUUUCAUUCAUCCCUCUCUCCCUGCCUCCCUCCCUCGCUCUCCCGGCCGGCCCCGACGGUGUCGCCAUUAGCCCACGACCAUGGACCAGCGGUGAACUGGGAACUCCGUCCGCAGGGAACGGGGAGCACUGGUGCUCUGCUGGUGAACGCUUGUUGCGGGGACAUGAAGAUCUCUAGCGAUGGGGAAUGGAGAGAGCUUUGGUAGAUAGACCUGCUCUCUCUGGAUGCGAACAAGAUUUUAUCUCUCUUGGAUUUUUUUGUGUGUGUCAGAUAGCAGAGAGGAACACUGCUGGUGAGCAGAUUCUUAUCACUGCCAGCAUGAACAUUGCUGCUUGAUCAAGAGUGUGGUAUGUGACGCUAUAUUUUGAUGUAUACUACAGUAUUAUUUUGUUGCUAGUACACAUUAUUUCCAUCUAAUAUUUUUUUCAGAGGCAGAGAAAAUUAUUUUGUAGGCUUUUAAACAAAGAACAAAAAUAAGACAUGUUAUGCAUCAAGGAUAGGAAUUAAAAUAUGUAAAGGUCAGUAAAAAAGUAUGCACAUAAAUUGCUAUUCUUUUUCAGUUGGCAACAUUGCAUACAUAAUUUGAAUCUUAAUUAAUGGAAUUCAUUGUUCCAUGUUGGAAGUUCCUGAAGAGCUUGAAAUAAUCCAUUUUGUAUGGGACUUGUCAAUCCACCUAUACCAAAUAAGGUUGUUUCCGGAGCCUGACAGCUUGUUUUUUUUAGAUUUUCACCUUCGGGUAAGCAUGGCAUGGUGAUUAAAACGUUUCUUAAAAAAUGAACUCAUAAUGAGAAGUUAUGUUCUAAUUAAGAUUGAUUAAGGGUUGUGCCUUUUUAAUUAUUUAGCAUGAAUAUAUAGCAGGCUGGUUCAGUGAUCAUCUAUGAACUAAAAUUAUACUCUUUUGUUCAGGUAAGAUGGGAGGAUGGCACAGACUGUACUACCAAAUUAGAUGAUCUCCAUGGGAGAUCGAGAUUGUUGGUGGUUCAACCUCUCCUGCUCAGUGUCUGGCACUAUCAAUGACCUGCAGACACAAACAAUGUUGUAAUCUUUCCUUUAUUACUCCAGGACCACCCAAGUUAAUGGUUCUACAUCUAAUGUAGAUUAUAUAUGUAUGAACCCUGUCUCUGGCAGCAUCAAUGACUUGCAGACACAAACAUUCAUAUACUUCUAUGUGUAAAAUUUAA